GCUAACAGACGUUUUCACUCCGGAUUUGUCAGGAAACGACGGUAAAAACAGACCGAUGGACUCUGCACACAUUGUUUUUUGGGCAACUCUGGGAGAGCUUUUUUUUACACUUGAAGACACUUCCUCCAGCAUGUCCAGUGUGUCAUGGGUCUUCCAUGGGGUCUCCUUCCAGAGGGACAUGCCCAGAACUCCUCCUUGAAUCACCACCUUAAAGUAGUGGAAGGGUUUGAGCACCCGAAUGAUCCCGGGAGCCAUGUUGUCUGAGGCUUCAUGUCCCUGGUAGAGUUGCCCAUGGCAGGACAGAUCCUGGAGGUGGAUGCUCAUCAGCGAGUGUCUGGUGGUGGGGCCGUCCUCCCGUGCACCCACCACCUGUAGGAGGAUCCGUAAGGGGCCGGUGCAGAGAGAUCUUUGCGGCAGUUGACGGCGGGGGCUUCAAUGACAGACACUUAAAAGGUUGCUCGAUGGUAUAGCUGUACAACUUGAACCUUCCUCAGAUUAAAUGGUAACUGUUGGCAUCUUUUUCUUUUGGGAGAUGAUGUAAACAAAAGGCCGAAUUGAAGUGCUCUGCCGCAGUUUGUUCUCAGCACGACACAAUGACAAAGCUCGACCGAAGCGUUUCUGAUCCCACAUUUUAUUCAUAAGCACUUUCUGUUCUAUUCCUCAGUUUAGUCUGUCCAAUGUCCUUGUUUUUCAGGAGC